UACGGGGGGGCAAGCGUUGUUCGGAAUUACUGGGCGUAAAGGCGUGUAGGUGGCCAACUAAGUCCGACGUGAAAUCCCCAGGCUUAACCUGGGAACUGCGUCGGAUACUGGAUGGCUUGAAUUCGGGAGAGGGAUGCAGAAUUCCAGGUGUAGCGGUGAAAUGCGCAGAUAUCAGGAGGAACACCGGUGGCGAAGGCGGGUCUCUGGCCGUAACUGACGCUGGAGGAGCGGAAAGCAUGGGGAGCGAACAGG
rnacentral:rRNA from 1 species